GCAAUGGACGGAAGUCUGACCGAGCAACGCCGCGUGAGUGAAGAAGGUUUUCGGAUCGUAAAGCUCUGUUGUAAGAGAAGAACGAGUGUGAGAGUGGAAAGUUCACACUGUGACGGUAUCUUACCAGAAAGGGACGGCUAACUACGUGCCAGCAGCCGCGGUAAUACGUAGGUCCCGAGCGUUGUCCGGAUUUAUUGGGCGUAAAGCGAGCGCAGGCGGUUAGAUAAGUCUGAAGUUAAAGGCUGUGGCUUAACCAUAGUACGCUUUGGAAACUGUUUAACUUGAGUGCAAGAGGGGAGAGUGGAAUUCCAUGUGUAGCGGUGAAAUGCGUAGAUAUAUGGAGGAACACCGGUGGCGAAAGCGGCUCUCUGGCUUGUAACUGACGCUGAGGCUCGAAAGCGUGGGGAGCAAACAGGAUUAGAUACCCUGGUAGUCCACGCCGUAAACGAUGAGUGCUAGGUGUUAGACCCUUUCCGGGGUUUAGUGCCGCAGCUAACGCAUUAAGCACUCCGACUGGGGGAGUACGACCGCAAGGUUGAAACUCAAAGGAAUUGACGGGGGCCCGCACAAGCGGUGGAGCAUGUGG
rnacentral:rRNA from 1 species